rnacentral:rRNA from 1 species
GAUGAACGCUAGCGGCAGGCCUAACACAUGCAAGUCGAGGGGUAGAGGAAGCUUGCUUCCUUGAGACCGGCGCACGGGUGCGUAACGCGUAUGCAAUCUGCCUUGUACUGAGGGAUAGCCCAGAGAAAUUUGGAUUAAUACCUCAUAGCAUUAUGAAAUCGCAUGGUUUUAUAAUUAAAGUUCCAACGGUACAAGAUGAGCAUGCGUCCCAUUAGUUAGUUGGUAAGGUAACGGCUUACCAAGACGAUGAUGGGUAGGGGUCCUGAGAGGGAGAUCCCCCACACUGGUACUGAGACACGGACCAGACUCCUACGGGAGGCAGCAGUGAGGAAUAUUGGUCAAUGGACGCAAGUCUGAACCAGCCAUGCCGCGUGCAGGAUGAAGCAUCUAUGGUGUGUAAACUGCUUUUGUACGGGAAGAAACACUCCUACGUGUAGGAGCUUGACGGUACCGUAAGAAUAAGGAUCGGCUAACUCCGUGCCAGCCGCCGCUGUAAUAC